rnacentral:lncRNA from 1 species
CCCCAAUAUUUCGUCCCUCAGAAACAAAUAAACAAGAAGAAUGAAAAGGAGCUUGACAAACGAGUAUAAAGGGUUUACCCGCUCAUGAAGAUAUAAUAUAUUCAUACUCACCAAACAUGCAAGCUUAAUUAAGGGAAUACUUUUAUUUGAAUGACUGCACUUAAGCUCCCUGUCUAGCCACAAAUAGUUUCUUAUCACUAGGUUUUAUUCACAUCUUAAACCCUUCAUAGUUAACUAGGUUCUUAGAAAGCAUCAUGGGAAUGGAUUUUGCAUUUGGAGCUUUUCGAAACAUAAACAUAACUGAGGGGUUUUGAUCUUGAAGAAAAGAUAUUACUCAACUAUCUCAUUAAAACCCACUAGUAUCUCCUAAUCAC